AGUAAAUUUAUAUUUUAUAUUAAUUUAUAAAUUUAUUUAAAUAUAUAAAAUUUUGAUAUAAGUUAAUAUUUUAAUAAUGUUAUUAAAGGAUUUAAUUUAAAGUAUUAAAAUUUAAAGAAAUUUUUAAUUUGUAAAAUUUUUAUUAUAGAUUAAUUAAAGUGCCAGCAAUAGCGGUUAUACUUUAUAUAUAAAAUUAAUUUAAUUAAAUAUUAAAGUAAAAUUAUUUAAGUGAUAAAUUUAAUUGGGGUAAGUAAAUGGAAUAGUGAAAUAAUUUAUUUAUUUUAAUUUAGUUGAAUUUAUUUAUAUAAAAUUUAAUGUUGUAAAGAUUUAAUUUUAUUAAAAUUAGGAUUAGAUACCCUAUUAUAUAAGUUUAUAAUUAAAAUAUUAAUAAAGUAAAUUUAUAGAUUGAAAUUGUUAGAUAUGACGGUAUUUUAAUUUAUUUAGAGGAAUUUGAUGAUUAAAUUGAUACUCCACAAUAAGACAUACUUAUUAAAUUUUGUAUUUAUAUAUUUUUAUUUAGAAAAAUUUUUUUUAAAAUAAUUUUGAAAUUUUUAUUAUAAAAAUUAUUUAAAUCAAUAUGUAAUUUAAAGAUAAGGUUUAAUUGAAUUACUAUAAAUUAUUAAUUUAUAAAAAGUAUAUUUAAAUUAUAUUUAUAAAUAGGAUUUAAAGGUAAAAUUAAUUAAUUAAUUAAUUUGAUUUAAUUUUAAAAUAUGUACAAAUUGCCCGUCAAUUUAGUUUAUUAAUAAAUAGAUAAAUUUAUUUAAAAUUAAGUAAGUCGUAACAAAGUAAAUAUACUGGAAAGUGUAUUUAGAAGUUU
rnacentral:rRNA from 1 species